UGCUAGGCCUGAUUGUGCUAGCUCGUCAAAACAGAGUAGGGUAAUGUCCUGAAGCCUUUUCAAUUUGAACCGGAAAUUGAUGGAUAUGUAAAAAUCACAAGGGGUAAUGAAGAUGAGGAAGGACCAAACGGGGGAAAAGAAAUAAUUUGCUGGUGUUUGUGUUGCUGCCGCCACCUUCAGCUUCAUAAAUUCAACAAUGAAUAAUACAUAUCUCCGGCUGGACUGCGUGAACAGGAUUACUUCUAUUUACCUUCAUCUGUCUUCCCAUUAACUCCAACCAGCUGUCUUGUCCCUGCUGAAGAAAACAGUCCCUACAGCAUGAUGCUGUCAUCACCACAAUUUCUCACUAUGGAGACAGUGUGCACAACUAAUCUGUUGUCUGAUCCAAGCGAUCAUGCUCUUCAGGACAAGGACCAAACAAUCAGUCUUCAUUGUACUGUUUAGUUAAAAGGAGUUCUUAAACACUUUUCUAACCCUUCAAUUAAAUCCCAAUUUAGGAACUGCAAAAUAGACUAUUCCACUUGAUCAACCAAUCUUCUUUUGAUUUGCUGCUUCUCUGACUAAGACUCUUUAAUCCUCACUUAUUACCCUGCCCUAUAUUUUUUUUCUUCCACAUCACAAUAAUGCAAUAUUGUGUGUUGAUCUUUAAAAAUACCAGUAAAACAUAUUAAGGUAUAUAGUUGCGAUGUGACAAAAAAUGAAAAGGUUCUGUUAGUAAGAUAACCUUUAUAAGUCUGUAUUUUGUACAGAGACCCAUGAAAUUAUAUUAAAAAAAAAUAAAUAAAUCAAACUCGCAUGGACUAAGGACAGCUGAGCUGGAAAGGAAGAGAAAAGAGAUGAAAGAACUGUUCAUGAUUGGAUGAUGAGAAGGCGAGAGGAGAGUUUUGGCAAGACGCCUGGAGAGUCUGAGGAUGCAGGAGACCAGCAGGAGCAGAAAGAAGAGGCGAGUUGAGCUUUGGCCCGUCACCAAGACAGAAAUGUAAGAGACUGCCAGAGAGGGAAGAUGGAGGAGAGGGAUGGGAGGUGAAAGUGGGAUACUGGGGGCUGUGGGGGAAGGGCAGUGGAGGACGAAAGAAGAAGAGGCACAAGAGCAAGAGAGAGGAUGGAAGGAGAGGUGAAGCCUCGCUGUAAGAGAGCACAAGGUUGGAUGAUGAGAGAUCAGAGGAGGCAACAAGCUACUUUGAUGGAGUUGUUGUGUUUCGAAUGUUGGAACAUGCAGAUACACAGGCUCACUGAGAGAUCCGUGGAAGCACAUCACACACCGCAGACUCAAACACACACUGUGGAUACAUAAACAGACAAGUGAACAUUC